GACGAACGCUGGCGGCGUGCCUAAUACAUGCAAGUAGAACGCUGAAGCGAGGAGCUUGCUCUUCUUGGAUGAGUUGCGAACGGGUGAGUAACGCGUAGGUAACCUGCCUUGUAGCGGGGGAUAACUAUUGGAAACGAUAGCUAAUACCGCAUAACAAUGGAUGACACAUGUCAUUUAUUUGAAAGGGGCAAUUGCUCCACUACAAGAUGGACCUGCGUUGUAUUAGCUAGUAGGUGAGGUAAUGGCUCACCUAGGCGACGAUACAUAGCCGACCUGAGAGGGUGAUCGGCCCCACUGGGACUGAGACACGGCCCAGACUCCUACGGGAGGCAGCAGUAGGGAAUCUUCGGCAAUGGGGGCAACCCUGACCGAGCAACGCCGCGUGAGUGAAGAAGGGUUUCGGAUCGUAAAGCUCUGUUGUAAGUCAAGAACGGGUGUGAGAGUGGAAAGUUCACACUGUGACGGUAGCUUACCAGAAAGGGACGGCUAACUACGUG
rnacentral:rRNA from 1 species